GACGAACGCUGGCGGCGUGCUUAACACAUGCAAGUCGAACGGAAAGGCCCUGCUUUUGUGGGGUGCUCGAGUGGCGAACGGGUGAGUAACACGUGAGUAACCUGCCCUUGACUUUGGGAUAACUUCAGGAAACUGGGGCUAAUACCGGAUAGGAGCUCCUGCUGCAUGGUGGGGGUUGGAAAGUUUCGGCGGUUGGGGAUGGACUCGCGGCUUAUCAGCUUGUUGGUGGGGUAGUGGCUUACCAAGGCUUUGACGGGUAGCCGGCCUGAGAGGGUGACCGGCGACAUUGGGACUGAGAUACGGCCCAGAAUCCUACGGGAGGCAGCAGUGGGGAAUAUUGCACAAUGGGCGGAAGCCUGAUGCAGCAACGCCGCGUGCGGGAUGACGGCCUUCGGGUUGUAAACCGAUUUCGCAUGUGACGAAGCGUGAGUGACGGUAAUGGGUAAAGAAGCACCGGCUAACUACGUG
rnacentral:rRNA from 1 species